rnacentral:rRNA from 1 species
UACGUAGGGUGCAAGCGUUGUCCGGAAUUAUUGGGCGUAAAGAGCUCGUAGGCGGUUUGUCGCGUCUGCUGUGAAAACUCGGGGCUUAACCCCGGGCCUGCAGUGGGUACGGGCAGACUAGAGUGCGGUAGGGGAGACUGGAAUUCCUGGUGUAGCGGUGAAAUGCGCAGAUAUCAGGAGGAAUCCCGGUGGCGAAGGCGGGUCUCUGGGCCGUAACUGACGCUGAGGAGCGAAAGCGUGGGGAGCGAACAGG